GACGAACGCUGGCGGCGUGCUUAACACAUGCAAUUCGAACGGCAAGGCCCUGCUUUUGUGGGGUGCUCGAGUGGCGAACGGGUGAGUAACACGUUAGUAACCUUCCCUUUACUUUUGGAUAACUUCAGGAAACUGGGGCUAAUACCGGAUAGGAGCUCCUGCUGCAUUGUUGGGGUUGGAAAGUUUCGUCGGUUGGGGAUGGACUCGCGGCUUAUCAGCUUGUUGGUGGGUUAGUGGCUUACCAAGGCUUUGACGGGUAGCCGGCCUGCGAGGGUGACCGGCGACAUUGGGACUGAGAUACGGCCCAGACUCCUACGGGAGGCAGCAGUGGGGAAUAUUGCACAAUGGGCGGAAGCCUGAUGCAGCAACGCCGCGUGCGGGAUGACGGCCUUCGGGUUGUAAACCGCUUUCGCAUGUGACGAAGCGUGAGUGACGGUAAUGGGUAAAGAAGCAACGGCUAACUACGUG
rnacentral:rRNA from 1 species